rnacentral:rRNA from 1 species
GCGGCAGGCCUAACACAUGCAAGUCGAGCGGAAACGAGUUAUCUGAACCUUCGGGGAACGAUAACGGCGUCGAGCGGCGGACGGGUGAGUAAUGCCUAGGAAAUUGCCCUGAUGUGGGGGAUAACCAUUGGAAACGAUGGCUAAUACCGCAUAAUGCCUACGGGCCAAAGAGGGGGACCUUCGGGCCUCUCGCGUCAGGAUAUGCCUAGGUGGGAUUAGCUAGUUGGUGAGGUAAGGGCUCACCAAGGCGACGAUCCCUAGCUGGUCUGAGAGGAUGAUCAGCCACACUGGAACUGAGACACGGUCCAGACUCCUACGGGAGGCAGCAGUGGGGAAUAUUGCACAAUGGGCGCAAGCCUGAUGCAGCCAUGCCGCGUGUGUGAAGAAGGCCUUCGGGUUGUAAAGCACUUUCAGUCGUGAGGAAGGUAGUGUAGUUAAUAGCUGCAUUAUUUGACGUUAGCGACAGAAGAAGCACCGGCUAACUCCGUGCCAGCAGCCGCGGUAAUACGGAGGGUGCGAGCGUUAAUCGGAAUUACUGGGCGUAAAGCGCAUGCAGGUGGUUUGUUAAGUCAGAUGUGAAAGCCCGGGGCUCAACCUCGGAAUUGCAUUUGAAACUGGCAGACUAGAGUACUGUAGAGGGGGGUAGAAUUUCAGGUGUAGCGGUGAAAUGCGUAGAGAUCUGAAGGAAUACCGGUGGCGAAGGCGGCCCCCUGGACAGAUACUGACACUCAGAUGCGAAAGCGUGGGGAGCAAACAGGAUUAGAUACCCUGGUAGUCCACGCCGUAAACGAUGUCUACUUGGAGGUUGUGGCCUUGAGCCGUGGCUUUCGGAGCUAACGCGUUAAGUAGACCGCCUGGGGAGUACGGUCGCAGAAUUAAAACUCAAAUGAAUUGACGGGGGCCCCCCCAAACCGUGGAACAUGUGGUUUAAUUCCAUGCAACGCGAAAAACCUUACCUACUCUUGACAUCCA